CAUUGCUUUUCUCAAAUACGUAGUACGUCGUCGUUUUGAUGGUCGUCUUCUUCCCAAAAGCCCAGCGUAGUUCCCGAGAAACCCCGAUUCUCCUCCUCCUCCGUGUUUUGUCGGGAUGCGAACACCAUGCACUACCGGUUGCAGGGCUUGAUAGGAUAGGCGCUCCUUGCAGAGACGGUGACGCCUUGGUUACACUGAACAAGCUACUGAUUUCACCGGACGGUAAUCGUGUAUCCGUCACUCACCGACCUCGUGAGGCAUCAGACCGUGACGUCGGCUAUAACAAUCGUGGUUCCGAUGCGGCGGUCGCCGGGUUUCAGGCGAGAGGUCAUCGCCUUCGAGUUGCUUAUCAGGGCACUUUUCUGAUUGCGAUGUUCUGUCACGAGUGUUAAUGGUGAUGUUCUGUAGGCUAGGCUGUCGAGGCUGCAUUAUACGAGGAUCAUCAGCCCGUGUCUGAACGAAGACACCAUCUUCAAAAGAUGUGUUUUUGCUGUUGGCCCGGCCGAUGUCAGCACACGGGAGUUCGAGUAAACAAAACUACAGAAAUAUGCUUCCUUUGCUGAGAGAUCCUGCGGAAGGGGAUCACCAGAUUCCCACCAUGGAUCUUUCAGAGAUGUGUUCUUGCAACGAGUACAUGCUUCGGGAUUUAUGUUCCGGACAUCAUUCAUAGGUCUUUCUCCCCUUUACUGUACAUCCAACACCUUUGUGUCUGAAACUUUCAUACUUUGUAAUCAAAUCUCAAAUUCUCGAGGUGCAAAAGCAGUAAUAAUCUUUUA